CUAAGUUCAGUGAUUGUACUAGAGUGAUUUGCACACAGUGUGGUGGCAAUUUUUCAGUGGCUCAUGGUGGGAAAAGUGAUAUAGGCCAGCAUCUUCGAAGCCAGAGGCAUAAGAGUGUAGAACGUGCAGUGGCAUCAGCGCGGCAAAGUUUCCGUUCAAACGAUUGUCUAUCAAAAUUGAUAAACUCUACGAUCCAAAAUUCUCUUCGGCACGCGCAAAAUCGGAAGCAAUUGUGACAAAUGUUUUAUCACCUUUCGCAUUACAAGAAGUAGUAGAAGAUUUGAGAAAAGUGAAUAGCGUUACGAUUAGCGUGGAUGCGUCAAACAAAAAGAUAUUAAGUUAUUUCCGGUUGUGGUGCGGUAUUUUCUCCCGAAUAGAGAAGUGCAUGACAAGAUACUGGAUUUCGUCUCCUUACCCGGUGAAACAUCUGAUCUCCAAUGCUCCAUGUUGACGGACAUUUGUGACAGAAAAUCCCAUACAAAGACGAAGUUCUCGAAUCGUGCUCAUUUCUCGAAAACGGACAGUUUUCCCGUGCUGCCUUCCACAUCGCAUUCUUCUCCAGCUCCUACGUUGUACCGCUGGUGUUGAUUAGCGCCCUAUACAUGUGCAUGCUGUCGCGGUUGUGGCGGAGUUCCGUCGGUGGGCGAUCCGCCGAGUCGAAGAAGAGCAAAAAACGCGUCACCCGGUUGGUGGUGGUUGUCGUCGCUGCUUUCGCAUCGCUGUGGUUCCCGAUACAGGUGAUACUGGUACUUAAAAGCAUUGGAGUAUUUGUGCCAGAUACGUCCUUCAAGAUAUCGCUGCAAAUCGUUUCCCACGUACUGGCGUACACGAGUUCCUGCAUCAACCCACUGCUGUAUGCAUUCUUGUCGGAAAACUUCCGGAAGGCCUUCCGAAAGAUCGUUUAUUGCGGCCCGGGAAGCCAACGGCACGGCAGUACCCGCCACAUGCCUCUACCAACAAAAACGACUCGCACCGGUAGCUGCCAGGGCCAGGACAUUUUAUAACCAGAAAUAGAGCAAACGUCCGUCGCAUUCUUCUAAGAGGUCCAUCCAUCACUGUCAUCAUCGUCAACGUCGUGUCAUCACCAUCAUCAUCAUCAUUGUCAUCAUUACAACCUGCAGCGGCAUAAGCGACCAUUAUCGCCAUUGGCAUCUUUAUCGGUUAACCGCCAGCGGGCCGAGCGAAUCCGGAUAAAUUGCAAUAAGUACGGCAGCUCCACCUUCUUCUCGUCGUCGUACAGGUCGAAACUAUUGGUUUCAAAUGGCAGGUGGUCGAGUUCCAUCAUUACAGCCGGAAGCAUUCCCAUAGAAGACAGUCAGCAUGAUGCAGGAAUCAUUGUCAGAGCGGACCCACUGGGACAACACCAUCAUCAUCGCCACAGAGUGUCUGCAUGACUCGUUCCGAGUGCUGAAAGUUGUGGCUGCCCGAAGGAAAGCACUAGAUUAUCCCUAAUUAUCCUCCGGCUAAGCAAAAUUUACACUUAGGAUUGCAAUCUCAUCGGUGCACCUUAUCUAUAUCCUGAGCUGUACGGAAAGUUAUCCUUUCUAGCAGGAAGAUGCGCCAGAGGGUAGAGGGGGGCAAUCGCCCGGGGAUGCAUUUUUGCUGCGUCGACCUACCGAGAAACACUCCCGGAUAAUUAGGUAAUAAAUGGAGAAUGAAGUUGUUCCAUUAGGUUGAGCACGUUCCGGAUUUCGUCGGACGCAUUCGACGAGAAGAACGUGUUGUUUAGGAGGACGAAGCAGAUGGUUCGAUAAGGAUUUACGAGUUUGUCCUGAAGGAAGAUGAGUUCCUUAAUAGGGAAAAUAAUAAUGGAAGUUAUGGCUUCACUCGCGUAUAUUAAAUGAAGAUGAUAGGAACCGUUUGUGAUGGUUUUUAACAGAUUGCAUAUUUAAUUAGACCAAUGAACUCCUGAAAGAAAUCUGAUCUUUUAGAGCAGUGAACCGUUGACAGCAAAAGAGUGGCAUAUAAGGAGAAGAUCUAUUCGGGCAUCACUAUUACCUUCU